rnacentral:rRNA from 1 species
UCGGGAAUUUUGGGCAAUGGGCGAAAGCCUGACCCAGCAACGCCGCGUGAAGGAUGAAGUAUUUCGGUAUGUAAACUUCGUAAGAAUAGGAAGAAUAAAUGACGGUACUAUUUGUAAGGUCCGGCUAACUACGUGCCAGCAGCCGCGGUAAUACGUAGGGACCAAGCGUUGUUCGGAUUUACUGGGCGUAAAGGGCGCGUAGGCGGUGUGUCAAGUCAUCUGUGAAAUCUCCGGGCUUAACUCGGAACGGUCAGAUGAUACUGCUUUGCUAGAGUGCAGAAGGGGCAAUCGGAAUUCUUGGUGUAGCGGUGAAAUGCGUAGAUAUCAAGAGGAACACCUGAGGUGAAGACGGGUUGCUGGGCUGACACUGACGCUGAGGCGCGAAAGCCAGGGGGAGCAAA